rnacentral:rRNA from 1 species
CAAUAGCGUAUAUUAAAGUUGUUGCAGUUAGAACGCUCGUAGUCGGAUUUCGGGGCGGGCCGACCGGUCUGCCGAUGGGUACGCACUGGUCGGCGCGUCCUUCCUUCCGGAGACCGUUCCUACUCUUAACUGAGUGGGGGCGGGAGACGGAUCGUUUACUUUGAAAAAAUCAGAGUGUUUCAAGCAGGCAGCUCGCUCUUGCAUGGAUUAGCAUGGGAUAAUGAAAUAGGACUUUGGUGCUAUUUUGUUGGUUUCGAACACCGAAGUAAUGAUUAACAGGGACAGUCAGGGGCACUCGUAUUCCGCCGAGAGAGGUGAAAUUCUCAGACCAGCGGAAGACGAACUACUGCGAAAGCAUUUGCCAGGGAUGUUUUCACUG